UUCUGUGUGUUUGGAUCGAGUAUGAGAGAUGUCAGAGGAGAUCUACAGAGAACCAUGAGGAGUUGGAGGAGGGAGUUCAGGAGUAUUCCCUGGAGUUACUACCCACCCUUCUCCCCUUUCUGGCUAAGGUAGGAGGCUGGUAUUCUAGCAUGCCCCAUGGAGCAGAUCUAACCCCCUUGUCUGCCUGGCAGGGGACACCAUCGCCAGCGUCAAUGGCCUGAAUGUGGAAGGCAUCCGGCAUCGAGAGAUUGUGGACAUCAUUAAGGCGUCAGGCAAUGUUCUCAGACUGGAAACUCUAUAUGGGACAUCAAUUCGGAAGGCAGAACUGGAGGCUCGUCUGCAGUACCUGAAGCAAACCCUGUAUGAGAAGUGGGGAGAGUACAGGUCCCUAAUGGUGCAGGAGCAGCGGCUGGUGCAUGGCCUGGUGGUGAAGGACCCCAGCAUCUACGACACGCUGGAGUCGGUGCGCUCCUGCCUCUACGGCGCGGGCCUGCUCCCGGGCUCGCUGCCCUUCGGGCCUCUGCUCGCCGUGCCCGGGCGUCCCCGCGGAGGCGCCCGACGGGCCAGGGGCGACGCCGACGACGCCGUCUACCACACGUGCUUCUUCGGGGACUCCGAGCCGCCGGCGCUGCCGCCCCCGCCGCCCCCGGCCCGCGCCUUCGGCCCGGGCCCCGCGAGACCCCUGCCGUGGGGCUGGGCCCUGGGCCGCGGGCCGCGCUGAGCCGCAGCGCCAGUGUGCGGUGCGCGGGCCCUGGCGGGGGCGGAGGCGGGGGCGCGCCGGGCGCGCUCUGGACUGAGGCUCGCGAGCAGGCCCUAUGCGGCCCCGGCCUGCGCAAAACCAAGUACCGCAGCUUCCGCCGGCGGCUGCUCAAGUUCAUCCCCGGACUCAACCGCUCCCUGGAGGAGG
rnacentral:sRNA from 1 species